UCCCCCGUGAGGGGGCAGUCUCGCCUGACAUAUAAAACAGGCAACGAGGGUUGCGUUCGUUACCCCACUGAAGGGAACAACUCAAGCCACGAACUGACGACGACCAUGCAUCACCUGCCCAGCCGCCUUGCGGGGGCCAAAGUUUCCUAAGGCUUACGUCUGGGUUUCAAACCCUGGUGAGGUUCUUCGUUUGUCAUCGAAUUGAGCCGCAUGAUCCACCGCUUGUGCAAGUCCCCGUCUAUUCCUUUGAGUUUUAAUCUUGCGAUCGUACUACCCAGGCGCCGAACUUAACGCGUUAGCUUCGCCACAAAGAGGGUCGAUACUCCUUAUAGCCAGUUCGGAUCGUUUAGGGCGUGGACUAC
rnacentral:misc_RNA from 1 species